GUGACCUACGGGACGCAGCAGUGGGGAAUAUUGGGCAAUGGGCGCAAGCCUGACCCAGCAACGCCGCGUGAAGGAAGAAGGCUUUCGGGUUGUAAACUUCUUUUCUCAGGGACGAAGAAAGUGACGGUACCUGAGGAAUAAGCCACGGCUAACUACGUGCCAGCAGCCGCGGUAAUACGUAGGUGGCAAGCGUUAUCCGGAUUUAUUGGGUGUAAAGGGCGUGUAGGCGGGAGCGCAAGUCAGAUGUGAAAACUCAGGGCUCAACCCUGAGCCUGCAUUGGAAACUGUGGUUCUUGAGUGAUGGG
rnacentral:rRNA from 1 species